ACAAGCAGGGAUGGCGCCGCCUCAGCGUUCUCGGGUGCUACGCUGCUGCAGCUGCCGCCUCUUCCAGGCGCACCAGGUAAAAAAGAGUGUCAAGUGGACAUGCAAAGCUUGUGGAGAGAAGCAGUCCUUUUUGCGGAGCUCCCCAGACACGGAGCUCCUGCUUCCGAGCUUCCUGUUCCUUCAGGAAGUGAAAUGGAUAGAGCAGUGUCUGCAAAGACUGUUCAGUCACAUUCUCUGCUCCAAGUCCAUAGAAUCUCAUUCCAAGCCAACUGGAAGAGCUGAGUCUCAAUGAUAAAUUCCUAGGAGAAGCAAGCUGGUUGGCCCAGGCUGACUCGGAUGUCCACCUCUGGUCCAGUCAACUGGGAUUGGGUCUCAGAAGAGAGGGGCUGGCUUACCAGGUAGGCAGACACCCCACAUGGUGAGCAU
rnacentral:sRNA from 1 species